rnacentral:rRNA from 1 species
ACAUGCAAGUCGAACGAUGAAGCCUUUCGGGGUGGAUUAGUGGCGAACGGGUGAGUAACACGUGGGCAAUCUGCCCUGCACUCUGGGACAAGCCCUGGAAACGGGGUCUAAUACCGGAUAAUACCUUCCCUCGCAUGGGGGUGGGUUCAAAGCUCCGGCGGUGCAGGAUGAGCCCGCGGCCUAUCAGCUUGUUGGUGAGGUAGUGGCUCACCAAGGCGACGACGGGUAGCCGGCCUGAGAGGGCGACCGGCCACACUGGGACUGAGACACGGCCCAGACUCCUACGGGAGGCAGCAGUGGGGAAUAUUGCACAAUGGGCGAAAGCCUGAUGCAGCGACGCCGCGUGAGGGAUGACGGCCUUCGGGUUGUAAACCUCUUUCAGCAGGGAAGAAGCGAAAGUGACGGUACCUGCAGAAGAAGCGCCGGCUAACUACGUGCCAGCAGCCGCGGUAAUACGUAGGGCGCAAGCGUUGUCCGGAAUUAUUGGGCGUAAAGAGCUCG